AUUUAUUCUCGGCUUGUUGGAUGGGAUCAAGUGUAGUAUCUGGUCUUAUCAGGUUAAUAUCUGAUAUGUCACCACAUAAGGAAUGUUUUUUUGCUUCCGUCGCCCUUAACGAGUGACUGAUAAACCAGUUUCUGCAGGUUCAGUGCACCUCACAUUUUGGAAGGCUUUUGAUCCAUUUAUUGUGGCACCAGUC